CUCAGAGAUCUGCCUGCCUCUGUCCCUUGAGUGCUGGGGCUAAAGCAAUGCGCCAACACUGCAGCAGUAUUUUAUUUUAUUUUUUCUUUUAAGGAUUUGCAUUUUAUAUAGCCCUGACUAGACUGGAACUUGCUAUGACGGUCAGGCUGGCCUCUAAGUCACAGAGAUCCACCUACUUCUGCUUCACAGGAAAUGGGAUUUAAAGUGUGUACUACCGCACCCAGCCACAAAAAAAAGUUUGAUAGGAUCUGUAUUGUUUAAUAGUGAUUUAGAUUGCAGAAACAAGUAUUACCUGUGGGAACCCCUAAAGAGAAAGUGUUCAUUUAGUUAAGUUUUGUUUGCCCCAUGAAGUCUUUGAGCUUCACUUGUCUAUCUUGGGGUGUAAUCUCAGCACGCAGGAGGCAGAGCUAAGUGGAUUUCUGUGAGGCCAGCCUGGUCUACAAAGCUACACAGAGAAACCUUGUCUUGGGGAGAAAAAAAAAAGUGUGAGUGUGUUGGUGCAUGCCUGUAAUUGUGCUGCGGCAGAGGACCAUGAAUUAAAAAAUUGAGUGAGGGUUGCAGAGAGCUGGAGAGAUUCUACUGGCAAAAAAAGUGAGAAAGCUGGCUAGUGCGGGGAGCCGAGUGAGGCAAUGGGGCCACAGACACCUUGGUGUGGUGUGCAUGGGAAGGCAACCAACAGCUCUGUUCUAAUCAGCAGAGCAAGCAGUGUGUUAAUGAAGGGAAGUGGGUACAGCCUGGGACAGUGAAAGUCCCUCUGAAAGUGAGCCAGUGAGAUGUGCUGGAUGCACCUUGGCAGUGGUGUGAAGAAAUGGGUUGGGUGGUGUUUAAGACAGUAUGAAAGUAUGUAUGAAAUGAGGUAUAUAAUACAGCAUUUGUGAAAUUCCUGUAAGCAAAACACUGAAAUGCAUUUCACAGAAAAACAUAGAAACAAAAUGAUGCCCAUUAAACACGUGGAAUGGUUGCCCAGGUGGGAAAGGAGGAAUGCUGUCAAAAGUGGGGGACCUCGGAAGAGCUGGGUGGACAUGGUGCCACGGCGCUUCCUAAGGAGAACCUCGCAUGGGCCUCGGUCAGAGUUUAACAGCUGCUGCCCUGGGGGGAACGAAAAAACCCAGAUCUGCAGUAUAGCGAUUUCCAAAAGCUACUCCCUGGCUGAUUUUGAGCAAUCGAGGUAGCCUGGAGCUGCACUUGCCCUCUGCUGGGAAUGUAACUUCCUGUCACUGAUCCCUGGAGACCAGCAAGCAGUUGUAGACUGGGAAUUCUCCGACAAUGAAGCCAACCUUCACAGAACCAAGAACAGGAUUUCCAACCUCUGCACUGCUGACAUGUUGUUCCUUGGACCAACUUUGCUUGGACAUUAAGGGAUGUUCAGCAUCCUGUCCAUCAUGACAACUAAAACUAUAAUUAUUGCCAAAUGCCCCCAGGGAAAGUGAACAAGUAACCCCAAGUUGAGAACCACCACGUUGGAGUGUGUCCAAGGGUUGUCUUUGAUCAAGUAAUUAUGUUGGUGACAUUUUUACGGAGGAUUCCUUGCCGUGACCACAUUAAAAGGCAGCUGUCGUUAGCUUCAGUAGGAGUGCCGUGAAUCACCAUGAAAUGCUCUUAAAUUUUUGCUAGUUUUCAUAAAUAUGUUCCAAGUCCCUCACACUGAAGGCAACUCUUGAGAGAUCAAUCUUUUGCCACAUGCUAUAACCAAACUGACAUCAUUUGUGAUCAGAUGCCUUACUUUGGUUUUUAAAACAUUUUAAGCGUUGUUUUAGUUGUGUGUCUUUAGUUGUGUGUAUGGGGAGUUUGGGUGCUCUGAGACAUUGUAUACCCUGGAGCUGGAGUUACAGGCCAUUUGGGCCACCUGGUAUGAGUGCUGGGAACUAAACCUGGGUCCUCCACAAGAGUAGACUAGCUCUUCACCACUGAGCCGUCUCUCUGGCCCUCAGUUUGAUUAUUCUAUUUUACUGUUUUCCCUUCCUGUGACAGGGUCUCAUUAUGUAGUUCUGGCAGUCCUGGAACUCACUGUGUAGAUAGACCAGGCUGGUCUGGAAUUCACAAAAAGCCAUCUGACUGCUUCUGCCUCCCAAGUGCUGGGAUUAAAAGUGAGUGUCACUACACCUGGCCCAUAGUUUGAUUUUUAAAAACUGUAGAUGGAGGGCUGGAGAGAUGGCUCAGAGGUUAAGAGCACCGACUGCUCUUCCAGAGGUCCCGAGUUCAAUUCCCAGCAACCACAUGGUGGCUCACAGCCAUCCAUUAUGAGAUCUGGUGCCCUCUUCUGAUGUGCAGAUAUACAUGGAAGUAGAAUGUUGUAUACAUAAUAAAUAAAAUCUUAAAAAAAAAAACUGUAAAUGGAAAUGGUAUGCAGUUAAUCCAGGUAUACAUUACUAACAGCCUUUCAAAUGGCUGUCUCUGUGCCAGCACAGCAGUGCACAACUGGAAUCUCCAGGUAGACGGCCAAGGCUGGAGGAACUUGUAGUCAAGGCCAGCCACAGUUACGUGCUGAAGCUUUAAAAUAGCUAAAGGCUUCUGCUGCUCUGCUUUCUCCUUCCAGUAAGGACUUUGAGAUGCAGAGCGAUAUGGUCAAGUUUUGGUCAUGGUGGGCUGUUUUUAGAAAACCUGCUGGACUGUGUGCCCUCACCAUCCAAGGCUUCUCGAGUUUUCUACUGCCUUUGUAGAGAGAAGCUGAGGAACAGCGAGGGGAGAGAGGUGUUGGAGGAGAUGAAGUAUGGCUGUAUCAUUAAUUAUAACUUUGUCACUACCUCACAUGAAAAUUAAGCAUACUAUAUCUUUGCUGAUGACUCAGAAAAGCCAAAAAUAAC
rnacentral:lncRNA from 1 species